AGUAACGCGUGAGGAACCUGCCUCAAAGAGGGGACAACAGUUGGAAACGACUGCUAAUACCGCAUAAGCCCACGGCUCGGCAUCGAGCAGAGGGAAAAGGAGCAAUCCGCUUUGAGAUGGCCUCGCGUCCGAUUAGCUGGUUGGUGAGGUAAUGGCCCACCAAGGCGACGAUCGGUAGCCGGACUGAGAGGUUGAACGGCCACAUUGGGACUGAGACACGGCCCAG
rnacentral:rRNA from 1 species